rnacentral:rRNA from 1 species
UAGGGUUUGAUUCUGGCUCAGGAUGAACGCUGGCGGCGUGCUUAACACAUGCAAGUCGAACGAACCUUCGGGUUAGUGGCGGACGGGUGAGUAACGCGUGAGAAUCUGCCCUCAGGAGGGGGAUAACAGCUGGAAACGGCUGCUAAUACCCCAUAUGCCGCGAGGUGAAAUGAAUUUCGCCUGGAGGAUGAGCUCGCGUCUGAUUAGCUAGUUGGUGUAGGUAAUGGCUCACCAAGGCAUCGAUCAGUAGCUGGUCUGAGAGGAUGAUCAGCCACACUGGGACUGAGACACGGCCCAGACUCCUACGGGAGGCAGCAGUGGGGAAUUUUCCGCAAUGGGCGAAAGCCUGACGGAGCAACGCCGCGUGAGGGAUGAAGGCCUCUGGGCUGUAAACCUCUUUUAUCAAGGAAGAAGAUCUGACGGUACUUGAUGAAUAAGCCACGGCUAAUUCCGUGCCAGCCGCCGCGGUAAUUCA